UCUUCCCUCUGUCGGCGUGCCUAAUACAUGCAAGUCGAGCGAACGGACGAGAAGCUUGCUUUUCUUAUGUUAGCGGCGGACGGGUGAGUGACACGUUGAUAACCGACCUAUAAGAAUGGGAUAACUUCGGGAAACCGGAGCUAAUACCGGAUAAUAUUUUGAACCGCAUGGUUCAAAAGUGAAAGACGGUCUUGCUGUCACUUAUAGAUGGAGCCGCGCUGCAGUAGCUAGUUGGUAAGGUAACGGCUUACCAAGGCAACGAUGCAUAGUCGACCUGAGAGGGUGAUAGGCCACACUGGAACUGAGCCACGGUCCAGACUCCUACGGGAGGCAGCAGUAGGGAAUCUUACGCAAUGGGCGAAAGCAUGACGGAGCAACGCCGCGUGAGUGAUGAAGGUCUUCGGAUCGUAAAACUCUGUUAUUAGGGAAGAACAUAUGUGUAAGUAACUGUGCCCAUAUUGACGGUACCUACUCAGAAAGCAACGGCUAACUACGUG
rnacentral:rRNA from 1 species